CACAAUCCUUAUUGCUACAAGGGGCAUGGCUGGGAUUAACUCCAGAGGUGCCCAUCUGAGCCACCAAAAAUGAUGCGUGAUUUUCGCUGGGAAUUUGACUCCUUCAGUUCUUGGCACUGUGAAGGACUGCGUGGCAGGGAGACGAUGCAUAAAGAUGAGGUGGCAGGGAGACGGCACCUUUAUGGCUCCUUCUGCAGACCCAGUGUUCACCAAAGGAAAGGUUUAAGGGUCAUUAACUAGUCACAAGUCUCAGAAGCAGAGACCAAGACAGAUAAGAAGGUGCAAGGAGAGAAGGAUUGGAUGUGGGAAAUCCUGACCCUCAACUAAGUAUUGAUUAAGUAAAGCC